CGCAUCUGUGCAUGCAGCAUAUCAAUAAGCGGAGGAAAAGAAACUAACAAGGAUUCCCCUAGUAACGGCGAGUGAAGCGGGAAGAGCUCAAAUUUGAAAUCUUAAAGGGUUUCCCUUUACGAAUUGUAGUUUAAAGAAGUGUUUUCUGUUGAGGUUUUGGUAAAAGUUCUUUGGAAUAGGACAUCAUAGAGGGUGAGAAUCCCGUAUUUGACCUUUACUUUCAACUUUGUGAUACACUUUCAAAGAGUCGGAUUGCUUGGGAAUGCAGUCCAAAAUGGGUGGUAAAUUUCAUCUAAAGCUAAAUAUUGGCGAGAGACCGAUAGCGAACAAGUACCGUGAGGGAAAGAUGAAAAGAACUUUGAAAAGAGAGUUAAACAGUACGUGAAAUUGUCAAAAGGGAAGCGUUUGACACCAGUGUUGUUUUUCUGAAAAUCAAUUAAAGAACUGUUUAUGCUAAGUUGUUUAGACUUUAUCAGCUAACUGUUUAGUUUUGAGCUUUUCUUUAAUGCACUUUUCAGUUAACAAGUCAACAUCAAUUUCUUUUGCUGUAAAAAAGCUUGAGGAAGGUGGCUUGAGAUUCGUCUUAAGUGUUUAUAGCCUCUUGCCUAUGCAGUCGGAGAGAUUGAGGUCUGCAGCGUAGAUCCUUCGGGGCUAAAUGCAUUUGUGCUAAGUUAUAGCAUUUUAUAGACAACUUGUUGACUAUGAUUUGUCUUGUAGCUUACUCGCUUAUGUUAUUUUACCUACGCUUAGGAUGUUGAAGAUGUAGCACAUCAU
rnacentral:rRNA from 1 species